CCUUUUGCGUGUGAGGCAAACGUGAUGACCACUACACUACAGAAACCCCCCUUUUCUAUUCUACAAUGGAUGGAAAGACAAGUAUGGGUUUCGAAACUGGGACCUUUUGCGUGUGAGGCAAACGUGAUGACCACUACACUACAGAAACCCCCCUUUUCUAUUCUACAAUGGAUGGAAAGACAAGUAUGGGUAAGGAUUAAUGAAAAAUUCAGACAAGGAAUACCAAUGUGGAGUUUCUGCACAUUGCACUGGACCUGACUAAGCCCGUUUGAAUGUGUAGAGGAUUGACUGGUACUGUUGUAAGCUAGCCAGUUAUCUGUUGGUGAAAAUAAAACACAUAUCCCACAAUUGGGACGAUACAUAUUUUCUCUAUUGUAUCCAGCCUCUAGUGUGUGGAUUUCUUUACAUGGGUUAGUUACGGUUGAUUCAAGACAAAGUUAUUGUCAAUUAUUUGCAUGUUUGCCAUUUCACCACAUACUACACUGAAAUACUAAAUGGCCUAAAACAUGAAAAUCUAUUUUGGUUGACAUGUUUUUUUCAAGAGUCAGUUUUGCUGACCGUGAUGGCUGGUGGCUAAUGGCAAAAAUAAAAAGGUUUGAAAAAAUGGUGGUUUUUGAGCACACACCUAGGGUGGAUGCUUACAACAGGUAUUCAACACCAAGGCUGUUUCUGCCAGGUUUCGAACCUGGGACCUUUUGCGUGUUAGGCAAACGUGAUGACCACUACACUACAGAAACCCCCCUUUUCUAUUCUACAAUGGAUGGAAAGACAAGUAUGGGUAAGGAUUAAUGAAAAAUUCAGACAAGGAAUACCAAUGUGGAGUUUCUGCACAUUGCACUGGACCUGACUAAGCCCGUUUGAAUGUGUAGAGGAUUGACUGGUACUGUUGUAAGCUAGCCAGUUAUCUGUUGGUGAAAAUAAAACACAUAUCCCACAAUUGGGACGAUACAUAUUUUCUCUAUUGUAUCCAGCCUCUAGUGUGUGGAUUUCUUUACAUGGGUUAGUUACGGUUGAUUCAAGACAAAGUUAUUGUCAAUUAUUUGCAUGUUUGCCAUUUCACCACAUACUACACUGAAAUACUAAAUGGCCUAAAACAUGAAAAUCUAUUUUGGUUGACAUGUUUUUUUCAAGAGUCAGUUUUGCUGACCGUGAUGGCUGGUGGCUAAUGGCAAAAAUAAAAAGGUUUGAAAAAAUGGUGGUUUUUGAGCACACACCUAGGGUGGAUGCUUACAACAGGUAUUCAACACCAAAAACUGUUUCUGCCAGGUUUCGAAACUGGGACCUUUUGCGUGUGAGGCAAACGUGAUGACCACUACACUACAGAAACCCCCCUUUUCUAUUCUACAAUGGAUGGAAAGACAAGUAUGGGUAAGGAUUAAUGAAAAAUUCAGACAAGGAAUACCAAUGUGGAGUUUCUGCACAUUGCACUGGACCUGACUAAGCCCGUUUGAAUGUGUAGAGGAUUGACUGGUACUGUUGUAAGCUAGCCAGUUAUCUGUUGGUGAAAAUAAAACACAUAUCCCACAAUUGGGAGAAUACAUAUUUUCUCUAUUGUA